CAAAAAAAGAAACAACCAAAAUAUUGAUGGUUAUGUCAUGUGGCUAAAUGGUAUAACGGGCCAAGUGGGUCAACUAGCCCACAUCAUAAGACCCAUAUACAAUUUCUAAAAAGCUACUACCAUAUCUACAAUUCCUAAACAGCUACUGCCAUAUCAUGCAGGUAAAAUCCCAGGUUGUAGCAGGUAAAAUCCAAGGUUACAGGCAGGUAAAAGGUGUAGGUAAAAGUUGAGCAUUCAAGGAAUUCUAAGCUAACAACUAUUAUAUCAAAAAGCCAAAUUUAAGAAUACAAAUAGAAUUAAAUAGAAUUGGAAAAGGUACAAAUCAAAUGUAUUUUCUGUUUGUCAUAGCCGUUAAAUUCUCUUUCAAGAAAACCAGAUCUUUUAUUCUUCCCUAACAAUUGUUCCUAGGAAAAAAAGCAUGGUGAAAUUGCUAAACAACAUAAAUUCAUUGAAAGUAGUAGUAAUAUUGCUAAUUGGCACUUACUACAGCACCAAGUGAAAGCAUAAUCCGGUCAUCCCAAGAUUUGUUCCAUAUGAGCCUGAGAGCUUCCAAAACGUCAUCGUGCAUGUGACCACCUGGUUUGAAGGUCUCAACAAAUAAAUCCUCCAUCAUCCCCACGCCAUGUAUUUGCAUUACACAAUUGUUUCUCAUCAGCGCUUUUAUUUUUUUGUCUUUCAUUUGGGCCCUGUUUUUUAUCUCAUUAUAUAUCUUAGACAAGAUUGAAUGUUCCGCAACAAUCUUCUUUAAA